GGCGACGCAUCUCUCCGGCUCGCCCUGCUGCUCGAAUGAUCGGCGGCGCAGGCCGCGGCAGGCGGCGGGCGCGCCCGCCGGCGUCCCUGCCCACGAGCACCUCCGCCCGCCGCACCGAGCACUCCGUCUCCUGCUGGUAUUGUGACUGCAAGAUAUAUGGCUUCAAUGACACCCUGUUCAGUUUGGGGUCGAAGUAUGCUAGAUUCAUGAGAGGAUGGUUUUCCAUAGGCGUUUGUUUCUCUCUCAUUGCUUUAGUCGAUGCUACUUUGGGAGUCAAUUGGUGUGUUUUAUCUCCGGAGUGGAUGUCUUAGUGCCUGGUUAAAGAACCUACUGAUUUCAGGGCACAGCAUAUCUAUUAUGGAUACCACAAUCAUCAUAAUGUCAACAAUCUUGUCUAUUGCUUUUCAUGAAUUCGGACAUGCCAUUGCUGCUGCAAGGUCUUUAUGUCUUGCCUUCUCGUUUCUUUUUUUUCUGUUAGAUGUGUUGCGUCUUUUCGUUGUGCUCAUUUGAUACUCAGAGCAUCUGUAUUAUGUUUUACUUUGCCUGUUAAUGAAUAAUUUUCCUGCCACGUUCACAUUCUUUUCUACAUGUGCAACAGUGAGGGAGUAGAGAUUGAGUAUGUUGCCAUAUUUGUCGCUGUACUUUUUCCUGGAGCAUUUGUUGCUCUGAACUAUGACCUACUGCAGAAUCGACCUCUCUUUUCCAUGCUCCGGAUUUAUUGUGCAGGAAUUUGGCAUAAUGUUAUGUAUGUGUGCUGAUGACAUCAUUACUCCCGGUGGUGUUGUAUCCUCUUUAUGUGAGUGGUGAUGGCCUUAUGGUCUCAGGAAUCCCACGAACAUCACCUCUGUCAGAAUACUUGUCUGCUCAUGAUGUUAUCCUCUCUGUGGAUGGUAUGAAAAUAACAAGAACUGAUGAGUGGAUCAAGAUUCUGAACCAAGAUACUACAGCAAAAUCCAGCGGUCCUGAGUUCCUUGAAGGCUCUCAGAGAUAUGUUGCCACCAAUUCUGGCAAGGGUUAUUGUGUGCCUGAUUCAUGGAUGGAUGCAAGCAAAAAUCUCUGGCAGAUAAGUGACAAGCUGCCCUGUCCAGAUGAACUGAUAGCCUUUGAAAAAGCUAUCUCUAAUGACUCAGCCAUUUUCACCGAGAAGAUCGGCAGAGGUAGUGACCAGAAGGAAGUUGAGGGAAAAUAUUGCUUAAUUGCAAAAGAUGUAGUAAAGCUUAGAAAAUGUGGAAACGGGUGGCAGAGGACUGAAGAUAACGGAAGUAGUCGUGCAUGUUUUGAGGUAAGAGCCCUGAUUUGUUUUUAUCCGUCCAUUUAUGUUGGGUGCGCUUUCCUGCAGCACUUAUAUCAAUGAUCCAAUUAUAUGGACUUAAAUGCCCCUGAAUUAUUCACUUAAGUACUGCCAUUUAUGCUUUGGUGCGCUGGCUGAGCUCAUGGCUGCUAGCUGUAUGUGUAUGUAUGCAUAUUUAAAGUGCAGGGAUAGUAUUGGCAAACAGCAAAAAAUAUGCAUUCAAAAGAUCAUGACGCUAACAGUCCUGGACAGAUCAAUGGGAAAGGGUCGCCCAAGAUAAGUGGACGGUGAGGGAGUACAAUGCGACAAUUGAUUAAGAGUCUUUAUGAAUAAUCUUUAGGAAGUCCGCCCUUCUUGUAAAAGUAGUUAUCUGUUUGUAUGAUUUAAUGUGCUUCAUGCAUGUCUAUUUGAUCAAUGCUGACAGGAUGAAUACUGCUUGGUACCUGCUCUGACCCCAGGCUUUUCAUGGAUUGAGGUCUCUUAUGCCAAGCCAUACUCUUGGGGAUGUUUACAGAGAGGAGGAAAUUUAUCAUCAUCAUCACAUGCUACAGAUAAUGACCUUGGACAGAAUCCUUGUGAGGGAUCUUUUGUUUAUGUGGGUGAUCUCUUAUCAGCAGCGCGUUCUGUUAGGUUAUCCCCCUACUGGCCUCGAUGGCCACUCCUUUUCCUUGCAGAUGUCCCAUAUAUCUUGGGAAAUGGUUUAAGUAGUUUGCUUCAUGCGUCUGCGGCAUUGGCUGUAGUCAAUAGCUUACCGGUGUUUUAUCUGGAUGGGGAAGCGAUUUUGGAGGCUAGCUUAAGCUACAUAUCUCGGUUUUCCCGGAGACAGCGACACAAAAUUCUGAAAGUUUGCUGUCUUGUAUGGACAGUUUUAUCAGUUAUUACAUUCUCGAGGAUUUUUUAUUCCACUACACUAUUUUAUGUU